ACGGGGGGUGCGAGCGUUGUUCGGAAUUAUUGGGCGUAAAGAGCAUGUAGGCGGCUGAAUAAGUCAGAUGUGAAAUCCCUGGGCUCAACCCAGGACGUGCAAUUGAAACUAUUCGGCUAGAGUAGGGGAGAGGAAAUAGGAAUUCCAGGUGUAGAGGUGAAAUUCGUAGAUAUCAGGAGGAACACCGGUGGCGAAGGCGACUUACUAGCCCGUUACUGACGCUGAGGCGCGAAAGCGUGGGUAGCAAACAG
rnacentral:rRNA from 1 species